rnacentral:rRNA from 1 species
GAGUUUGAUCGUGGCUCAGAUUGAACGCUGGCGGCAGGCCUAACACAUGCAAGUCGAGCGGAUGAAGGGAGCUUGCUCUCUGAUUCAGCGGCGGACGGGUGAGUAAUGCCUAGGAAUCUGCCUGGUAGUGGGGGACAACGUUUCGAAAGGAACGCUAAUACCGCAUACGUCCUACGGGAGAAAGCAGGGGACCUUCGGGCCUUGCGCUAUCAGAUGAGCCUAGGUCGGAUUAGCUAGUAGGUGAGGUAAUGGCUCACCUAGGCGACGAUCCGUAACUGGUCUGAGAGGAUGAUCAGUCACACUGGAACUGAGACACGGUCCAGACUCCUACGGGAGGCAGCAGUGGGGAAUAUUGGACAAUGGGCGAAAGCCUGAUCCAGCCAUGCCGCGUGUGUGAAGAAGGUCUUCGGAUUGUAAGCACUUUAAGUUGGGAGGAAGGGCUGCAAGUUAAUACCUUGUAGUUUUGACGUUACCAACAGAAUAAGCACCGGCUAACUUCGUGCCAGCC